UACGUAGGGUGCGAGCGUUGUCCGGAAUUAUUGGGCGUAAAGAGCUCGUAGGCGGUUUGUCGCGUCUGCUGUGAAAACCCGAGGCUCAACCUCGGGCCUGCAGUGGGUACGGGCAGACUAGAGUGCGGUAGGGGAGAUUGGAAUUCCUGGUGUAGCGGUGGAAUGCGCAGAUAUCAGGAAGAACACCAAUGGCGAAAGCAGCUCUCUGGGACGGUACUGACGCUGAGACGCGAAAGCGUGGGGAGCGAACAGG
rnacentral:rRNA from 1 species